GUCUUGGACAGAGGUGUUAUUGAACACAAUUUCUUGUCUGCAAGCAAAUUAUAUAACAUUACCUUUGAAGAACUUGGAACUCUUCUAGAGAUCCCUGCAGCUUAGGCAGAAAAGAUAGCAUCUCAGAUGAUAACAGAAGGACGUAUGAAUGGAUUCAUUGACCAGAUUGAUGGAAUAGUCCAUUUUGAAACACGAGAAGCCCUGCCAACAUGGGACAAACAGAUCCAAUCACUUUGUUUCCAAGUGAAUAACCUUUUGGAGAAAAUUAGUCAAACAGCACCAGAAUGGACAGCACAAGCCAUGGAAGCCCAGAUGGCUCAGUGAAUCCUUGUAGAACUUCUGUGCACACCACAUCUUUUUUCGUGUAGUGCAGAUUAAUUUCACUAUCUCUUCAAAGCAUUUGCAUCAUGAUCUUAUACAUUUCAAUUCCUUUCAUGCUGGAUUCCAUUUAAAGACAAAAUUAUUAAAACAGGAAGUACAAGCAUUUAAAAUUAUGUAGCCCCCAUAUAUUCAGGGUCUCUGUGUAUAAAGCAACUCAGAUGUUUUGAAAGCUUUUCCUUUAAAUGGAGAAGGUAAAAUAUCUGUGGCUAAAAAGUUUAGGAUUUGUGAUAACUUUGUAGUCAUGUAAAAACUUAAGUGCUUUGUGCCUCUCCAAAUGUGUUUAUUCUAAUAAAUGGAGAAAUGAGCCAAAUAAAAGUAGUACUUUGUUUUUAA